GAUUAAGUUAUUAAGGGCGCACGGUGGAUGCCUUGGCACUAGAAGCCGAUGAAGGACGUUACUAACGACGAUAUGCUUUGGGUAGCUGUAAGUAAGCGUUGAUCCAGAGAUUUCCGAAUGGGGGAACCCAACAUGAGUUAUGUCAUGUUAUCGACAUGUGAAUUCAUAGCAUGUCAGAAGGCAGACCCGGAGAACUGAAACAUCUUAGUACCCGGAGGAAGAGAAAGAAAAAUCGAUUCCCUGAGUAGCGGCGAGCGAAACGGGAAGAGCCCAAACCAACAAGCUUGCUUGUUGGGGUUGUAGGACACUCUAUACGGAGUUACAAAAGAACAUGUUAGACGAAUCAUCUGGAAAGAUGAAUCAAAGAAGGUAAUAAUCCUGUAGUCGA
rnacentral:rRNA from 1 species